GGGUUUAUAGCGUUCUAGACCGUUAUCGCAGCGGCACUGUCGAGGCCUGGAUUCCAGUGCUUGUCACUGGAAUCCAGGCCUCGACAGUGCCGCUGCGAUAACGGUCUAGAACG
rnacentral:pre_miRNA from 1 species